UACAGAGGUCUCAAGCGUUGUUCGGAAUUACUGGGCGUAAAGGGCGCGUAGGCGGCCUGCUAAGUCGGACGUGAAAUCCCUCGGCUCAACCGAGGAACUGCGUCCGAUACUGGUGGGCUUGAAUCCGGGAGAGGGAUGUGGAAUUCCAGGUGUAGCGGUGAAAUGCGUAGAUAUCUGGAGGAACACCGGUGGCGAAGGCGGCAUCCUGGACCGGUAUUGACGCUGAGGCGCGAAAGCUAGGGGAGCAAACGGG
rnacentral:rRNA from 1 species